rnacentral:rRNA from 1 species
AUUGAACGCUGGCGGCAUGCCUUACACAUGCAAGUCGGACGGCAGCGCGGGGGCAACCCUGGUGGCGAGUGGCGAACGGGUGAGUAAUACAUCGGAACGUACCUGGGAGUGGGGAUAACGCAGCGAAAGUUGCGCUAAUACCGCAUAUUCUGUGAGCAGGAAAGCGGGGGAUCGCAAGACCUCGCGCUUCUGGAGCGGCCGAUGUCGGAUUAGCUAGUUGGUGGGUAAAGGCCUACCAAGGCGACGAUCCGUAGCGGGUCUGAGAGGAUGAUCCGCCACACUGGGACUGAGACACGGCCCAGACUCCUACGGGAGCAGCAGUGGGGAAUAUUGGACAAUGGGCGCAAGCCUGAUCCAGCAAUGCCGCGUGUGUGAAGAAGGCCUGCGGGUUGUAAAGCACUUUCAGUGGGGAAGAACAGGUUCGGUCAAUACCCGGAGCCCUGACGUUACCCACAGAAGAAGCACCGGCUAACUACCGU